UACGAAGGGGGCUAGCGUUGCUCGGAAUCACUGGGCGUAAAGGGUGCGUAGGCGGGUCUUUAAGUUAGGGGUGAAAUCCUGGAGCUCAACUCCAGAACUGCCUUUGAUACUGAGGAUCUUGAGUACGAGAGAGGUGAGUGGAAUUCCCAGUGUAGAGGUGAAAUUCGUAGAUAUUGGGAAGAACACCGGUGGCGAAGGCGGCUCACUGGCUCGUAACUGACGCUCAUGCACGACAGCGUGGGGAUCAAACAGG
rnacentral:rRNA from 1 species